rnacentral:rRNA from 1 species
ACCCGCUGAAUUUAAGCAUAUAAGUAAGUGGAAACAAGAAACACACCAGGACUCCCAUAGUAGUGGCGAAUGCACAGGGAUAAACUCAGCAUGAAACUUCGGAUGUCUGGUCCUGAGUUGUAGUCUUGCAUUGCACAACCGGAGGGGAUGCAGCUACAGGCUCUUGGAAAGGAGAGUCAAUGCUGGUGACAAACCAGUGUGUUGGCAGCAACACCCCUUACAAUCGGUGUGCUGUUUUUGAGUCGUGUACCUUGACACUGGUGUGUGAAGUGGUGGUAUUUUUAUCCAAAGCUGAAGACACAUUUGAGACCAAUGGAAAACAAGUACCUUGAGAGAAAGGUGAAACAGAGCUGUGUAAAGAGAGAUAAUUAUGCUUGAACUUGCUGACGUUGUUGUGCAUGGUGACAGUGUCAUGUGGCAAGAUUUCUACGUGUUACCGUGUCUGUCUGAUGUUUGUGUAUUUGUCAAGUGACAGGUUUCGGGCAGGACGCAUGUAGUGCAUCUCGCCCUACCUAUCAACUCCAGCAUGUUGCUUGGGAACAGUGGCACGGGCCUGGUUGACUAUCCCUGGGUAGAAGAAGAUCUGCGUGCUGCUAGAGCAGGUGCACCUUGGUGACUACACUGACCCAGUUGGCCCGUCUUGAAACACGGAUCAAGGAGUCUAACAUACAUGCAAGUACAUGGGCAGGAAACCUGUGUGCGUAAUGAAAGUACUGGCCGGGACUUGUUGCACCCGUAACCGAUCAUUUGCCAAAAGGAAUGCCUGAGUAUGAGUACGUGUCUUAGGACCCGAAAGAUGGUGAACUAUGUCUGUGGAUGGCAAAUUCAGGGGAACUCUGAUAGAGGCCUGCAGCGAUACUAACGUGCAAAUUGAUCGUCAUACAUGGGCAUAGGGGUGAAAGACUAGUCGAACCAUCUAGUAGCUGGUUCCCUCUGAAGUUCCCCUCAGGAUAGCAAGGCAUGGAUAGUUUUACUAAGUAAAGCAAAUGAAUCGAGGCAGCGGGGGCCUGUUGCCCUUGACCUAAUCCCUAACUCUAAAGAGGUAAGCUGCAGUAGUUACUCGUGUGGGCGACUGGGGCAAGUGACAGCCCCAAGUGGGCCAUUGUUGGUAAGCAGAACUGGCGAUGAGAGAGGAACCUGAUGUUAGAAGGUACUUCAUUGCUCGCUCAUCAGAUAGCAUAAAGGGUGUUGGUUCGUCUAGACAGCAGGGUGGUGGCCAUGGAAGUUGAAUUCCACUAAGGAUUGUGUAAUAACUCACCUGCCGAAUGGGCUAGCCCCAAAAAUGGAUGGCGCUCAAGUUGGCACUGAUGUUUGGCCAAUGCUGCUGCUUGUGCGCAUCACUGAGUAGGAGGGUAUGCGGUCUAGUGAAGAAGCUUUCAGGUGCAAACCUGAGCGAAGCAGAUCCAGGUGCAGAUCUUGGUGGUAGUAGC